GACGAACGCUGGCGGCGUGCUUAACACAUGCAAGUCGAACGGAAAGGCCCUGCUUUUGUGGGGUGCGCGAGUGGCGAACGGGUGAGUAACACGUGAGUAACCUGCCCUUGACUUUGGGAUAACUUCAGGAAACUGGGGCUAAUACCGGAUAGGAGCUCCUGCUGCAUGGUGGGGGUUGGAAAGUUUCGGCGGUUGGGGAUGGACUCGCGGCUUAUCAGCUUGUUGGUGGGGUAGUGGCUUACCAAGGCUUUGACGGGUAGCCGGUCUGAGAGGGUGACCGGCAACAUUGGGACUGAGAUACGGCCCAGACUCCUACGGGAGGCAGCAGUGGGGAAUAUUGCACAGUGGUGGGAAGCCUGAUGCAGCAACGCCGCGGGGGGGAUGACGGCCGUCGGGUUGUAAACCGCUUUCGCCUGUGACGAAGCGGGAGUGACGGUAAUUGGUAAAGAAGCACCGGCUAACUACGUG
rnacentral:rRNA from 1 species